UACGUAGGGUGCGAGCGUUGUCCGGAAUUAUUGGGCGUAAAGCGCGCGUAGGCGGUUUUUUAAGUCUGAUGUGAAAGCCCACGGCUCAACCGUGGAGGGUCAUUGGAAACUGGAAAACUUGAGUGCAGAAGAGGAAAGUGGAAUUCCAUGUGUAGCGGUGAAAUGCGCAGAGAUAUGGAGGAACACCGGUGGCGAAGGCGGGACCCUGGGCCGGUACUGACGCUGAGGAGCGAAAGCGUGGGGAGCAAACAGGAUUAGAUACCCUCGUAGUCC
rnacentral:rRNA from 1 species